AGGUUUGAUGUUGUUUCCUGAAAUUUUCACAACUUUGGCCUUACUGUGUUAUUAUUUUAAUCUCAAGCUUCCAACCAAGCAUCCUAGGAACAGCACCACAGAGAUCAUAAUAAAGAAGGGAGGAGUAGACCUGGAAUAUACUCAAUGUUCUUGAUCAGAGUCUCGAGGUGAAUCAAAAAAGGGACUGUCUGCUGAAAUGCCUUAUUGUGUGUUGUGGGGAAGAUGUGGACACACUUCUCUCUGAUGGCCGUCUUAAUGACUGUCAGCCCUGUAAGUGCAGCAGAAGCAUCCAAUAAGGCUUCUUUUAGAGCCCAGCGCCAUUCAGAGUGAAUGAGGGGGAACAAGGGGACCUAGAUGAGGAGUAGAGCACUGGUCUGAUUCUUCAUCAGCUCCACGUGGCUGUUGGGCUGGUAAUUACAGACAUUAUCAGUCAUUACUGCAGUCCGCCACAGAGCCUAA